AAACUGCUCGCUCACCAUUGCCUAUCCCACCAUCAGCCAAAACCACACUGGGGACCAAAAUAAUAUCAAUAAUAAUAAAUGAUCAGACAGUAAAGAUAAAACUAGAAAGAACCAACCCCUUGAAAGCCAGGAAACAAAACAACCGACCGACCGACCGACCGACCGACCGACCGAUCGAUCCACGCCGACCAACAACCAUGCCCACCCCGGAAUCCGCCGCCUUCCUCGCCAAAAAGCCCACCGUAGCCCCCAGCUACGACGGCGUCGACUUCGAAGACACCGCCGCGCUCCACAACGCGCGCGACGCCAUCAUCCGCGAGCAAUGGGUGCGCAGCAUGAUGGCGCGGCUGGUCGGGGAGGAGCUGGGCAAGUGCUACCGGCGCGAGGGCGUGAAUCAUCUGGAGAAGUGCGGGAUGUUGAGGGACCGAUAUUUCGAGCUUCUGAAGGAGGCGAAGAUUAAGGGGUAUAUGUUCCAGGAGAAGAAUUACGUCUCGAAAUCGGCGUCGCCGUGAGAGGGUGUGCGGAGUGGCGGGGGGCGGAGGUCCUUGCGGAUUGGCCCUAUCGAGGUGCGGGAGACAGCGAUACGUGUUCGAGGUGGACGCUACGAGAUUGUAUUCGACCAGACAAUCGAAUUGGAUACCUGAGUUUGCAGGCCUUUGGGAUGAAGCGCGGUGAUGGAAUCGGACUACGUGCGCUACGGGGCACUGUCCUGGUGUUGUGUUGGGUCGGAAGGGCAUCUUCUUGUUCGUGGUGACGGAGACGUCACUUCGUUUCCCGCCGGCAUUUCGAAAACCCAUCUCGACUGGUAUCGUCGUUCUCAAUUGCGGCUUUUUGUGUUUUUCUUCCAGUUCUGGCUGUGAUACAAAAGACACUGUUCAUUGUUAGAUAGUUAAACUAUCUUCGUGAUCUUGCUUUUCCUCCCGCAGACCAGGAUUAUGUUUUCCGUGUCGAUGAUGCCAGUUACAGUGGGGGAAAAUGAAUAGACCGGCGGUGCACUUACUGUAUAUAAUGGAUAGAUUUAAGGGACAAUAAAAAAGGUUAAAAAUUUUUAGAAGC
rnacentral:sRNA from 1 species